UACAGAGGGUGCAAACGUUGCUCGGAAUUAUUGGGCGUAAAGCGCGUGUAGGCGGCCUGUUAAGUUGGUUGUGAAAACCCAUGGCUCAACCAUGGAAGUGCGUCCAAAACUGGCAGGCUAGAGUUCUAACGAGGAUGGCGGAAUUCCCGGUGUAGUGGUGAAAUGCGUAGAUAUCGGGAGGAACACCAGUGGCGAAAGCGGCUACCUGGCCCAUUCUUGACGCUGAGGCGCGAAAGCUAGGGGAGCAAACGGG
rnacentral:rRNA from 1 species